rnacentral:rRNA from 1 species
GCCAAACAGCUAGCUUAAUCACCAGAAUUAACUCAUUAACAUAAAUAACACAAAAUCAACUAGUCCAAUAAACUAAACCAUUUU